CUUUAAGUUCACAGGAAGUACUUAAUAAAUGCUUAUUAAAUACAGGCUACUUCCUAUAAUAUUUGUUUUCUGUUCACAGUGAUUAUUUCUCAUUUUUUCCCCAAGGGGUGGGAAUUAGGUUAAGAAGGGUAAACUUGCUGGGCAUAAAGGUGCACACCUGUAGUCCAACUAGUUGGGAUGAUGAGGCUGGCAAAUUUGAGGUCAGCCUGGGCAAUCCUCAGUAAGACUCAAAAUUAAAAAUAAAAAGGGCUGGGGAUAUAACUCAGUCUUGUGCACCACUGGGUUCAAUCCCUGGUACCCCUCCCACCAAAAAGAAGAGCAAACUCUCUGAACUGUGGGAGACAAAAGAAACCUUUCAAAAGUUGGGCCUUGGCUCACGACUAUUCUUCCCACAGUCUGCUAAAGAUCUCUUUGGGAAUUUCUGGCCACAUCAUAAUAUUCAUCUAUUCCAUUUGGCUGUGGACUUGUCAGUGGGGCUGGGAAUUAUUGUUUUUAUAGUGCUGAGUGAAAGAUAAAAAAAAAAAAAAAAAGAAACUACUUUGGCAGUCAAUUGCAGGUCCUAAAAUACUUGCAUUUUAUUUUUGUAUAUAAGUCCCACCAAUGCCUAAACCAGUAAUAAUAAGUUAGAGAGCAAAUGAUGCUACAUUGUUUAAUUUAAUCAAUUCAGUGAUUUCCCCCCCACACACACCUUUAUUUAAAACAAUAACUUGACAUAAUUAAACAUUUGAUGAAAAACAGAGUGUAAAAAAAAUAACUUUUCAGAUGGCUCAUUUCCCUUGCUUUUAAAUCAGAAAGUAUAGUUUUGGAACCAUGGUAGCUUUAUUCAUUAACAACUGUUUGUUCCUUGCCUAAUUAUCAGUGCCUGUUUGGAAUUACUCCCUGCCUCCAGUCUCCUUUACAAGGACAGUGCAGGCUCCUGGGAUACAUUUUUGAAGAAAAGAAAGAUCCAGCCUUUUUGGAGCUUAUGUUCUUGCAGAGAUAGGCAGGAUAAAUGUACUUUUUUUUUUUGCCUCUGCACCAAGGGCCUUGCACUUGGUACUGUACCACUGAGCUACAUUCCAAGCCCUGGGCAGGAUAAGUAGUAAAGAAGGUUAAGUAAUAAAUGAAUAAACUGACAAUAUAUUAAAAGGUGAUAAAUGCUGUUUGUUGCCAAAGUUCUGAUUCUGGGGGGUUCCCAAUAAAUCAGGUCUAGCCAUUUACCCCAAAAACUAAGUGGAAAAAUUGGGAAAAGCAGGAAAGGAACUUAAAUUAAUAUGGCUGUAUUGGGAAGGCAAAGUGAGAUCAAGCUUAUCAGCCCUCUCUUCAGGAUGCUAACAUGAGCUUUAGGGUCUUUUUUUUUAAUGAGGAGUUUUAUUAAAUCUUGCCCCCUUUGCUCCUUGAGUACAAAACUCUUUAACAUUGUGUGUGAUCACAUGAGAAGUACGCAUGAACAUUUUUGGUGGGUGGAUACUGAGGAUCAAUCCAGGGGCCAUUAGCCACUGAGCCAUAUCCACAGCAUUUUUAAUUUUUUAUGUUGAAACAGGGUCUCCCUAAGUUGCUUAGGGCCUCGAUAAGUUGCUGAGGCUGGUCUUGAACUUGUGAUCCUCCUGCCUCAGUCUCCCAAGUCACUGGGAGCAUGAACACUUAGUUGCAUGCCAAUGUAAGAUGACUGUCUCAAGGGAAAGUACAUGUUGUGAUUUCUUGAGUUCCAAAUUGAACUAGCUCUUUUCUUCAUGGAACACCAAUUUGGGGGGUCAUUAGGCUCAGGUUUUCAGUCUUUGAAUUGUCAUCUUCUGGCUGCUCUUCUUGUCCUCCUCUUCUUCAUAACCAUCUUCAUCUCCCCCCUAGGGGAGGGAAGUGGUCCCCUCCAUAGGCAUCAGAUACCCAUCCACCUUUCUCUUGGUGAUGCGGACCACAGCUUCCAUUUCAUCCUGACCGUGAAACUUGUGAAACUCGGGUUCUGAAUCUUUUGUGUAAACCACCAGAGACUGAGCUUUAGGUUUAAACAGAGGAAGAAUGGGGCAGGGGGCAAAAGGUAUCCAGAAUUAAACAGUCUUGGUCAAACUAUGGUCUGGUUCAUCAUUGUCUCAGUUUUGGUUCUGCAAGACAGCUCCGAAGAAGUCCUUACUGCUUGAGAAAGCAAAUUAAUUUGCUGCUCAGGAUGUUUACCCACCAGAUCUGUAGUCCUCAAAAGGGGAAAUUUGGUUCCCAUGAGACAAUUGCUUUUGCUUAGGGGAGCAACCUGCAAGCUUGCUAUUGCAGGAAGGUGUCAGGCAAUGACUGGGAUCUUAUGUAGGUGCCACACCAGUAGUCUGGAAUAGAACCUUAUAAAAGCUGGCAGUUGAAUGUCUCUGCAAAUCUUGAAAUACAUUACUCUUAUCUUGAUGUCUUUGGUCUCAAAAGGGGACCAGAUAGGUUACGUAAAAAUAGAGCUAAUCAAACUUGUAUACCAGUUUUUUGAUAAAUACUUCUUAAAUUACUAACAUGCUUAAGUGCAGUUAGCAAGAAUCUGACCCAAGAUUUAAGGCAAAGGGAACAAAUACAUAAAAAGAAGGCAAAAGCGCCAAACUUUCUCUUUCUUUUAAUUAAUCAUAAGGCACCAACAAAUACAAAUGAAGUGUCAGUACUUCUUGCAAAAGCAACUUUUAAUUCACUAUUAUAGUACUUUGGGAAUAUGAAAAUGAUGAACAUGGAGAAAACCUUAUUGACACUUGUAAGGUUUUUGGAGUUUUAUAGGUAUUGUUGAAAUUUGGGAUUUGUGUUUCAUUUAAAUCUUUCUAUAACUUUCUAUUAAAUAAAUUUAGAAGCAAACGAAACAGUUGACAUCAAUAAAAAUGGUGAAGUAUAGGUCUGAAAACCUGUCCUAUCAGGGGCUGGGGUUGUGACUCAGUGGUAGAGUGCUUGCCUAGCAUGCAUGAGGCAUUGGGUUUGAUCUCCAGCACCACAUAAAAAAACUAAAUAAACAAAAUAAAGGUAUUGUGUCCAUCUACAGCUAAAAAUAUUUUAAUUUAAUUUUUAUUUA
rnacentral:tRNA from 1 species